ACUCCUACGGGAGGCAGCAGUGGGGAAUAUUGCACAAUGGGCGCAAGCCUGAUGCAGCCAUGCCGCGUGUAUGAAGAAGGCCUUCGGGUUGUAAAGUACUUUCAGCAGUGAGGAAGGGUGGGUAUGUUAAAUAGCAUAUUCAUUUGACGUUAGCUGCAGAAGAAGCACCGGCUAACUCCGUGCCAGCAGCCGCGGUAAUACGGAGGGUGCGAGCGUUAAUCGGAAUUACUGGGCGUAAAGCGCAUGCAGGUGGUUUGUUAAGUCAGAUGUG
rnacentral:rRNA from 1 species